UCAAGCCACUCCUCCCUGUCCUGCUCUCACGUACAGCUGCCCCUCCCACCACUGAAGACUCUCAGGGAUGCCAGAGCCACUGCCAAUGGAGUGAUUGUUUCGUCUGGAAUGAAGUACAGCCUCAUGGGAAAGACUGUGGGCUAUGGAGAACAAACAUCCUGGAUUCAAACAUAAGUUCUCUCACUUCAAUCCUGUGCAACCUUGGAGAAGUAACCUUUGUCUUUGUAAGAAGAGAAGAAUGAAAGCCUCAACUCUAUAGGAAUCUCAUGAGAUAUAUGUGUAUCUGCCUCCCCAGCUACGCCGAGAGCUCUGAGCCAGGGACCGCAUCUGCAUUUUCAUGGCAAAUUCCAAAAACCUUGGGUGGAAUCCGUUGUACCACCUGGGAACUGUGUGAGCCUUGGGCAAAUAAAUAAUUAAAACUCUCUGAA